AUUGAACGCUGGCGGCAGGCCUAACACAUGCAAGUCGAACGAGUGGCGGACGGGAGAGUAAUGUCUGGGCAACUGCCUGAUGGAGGGGGAUAACUACUGGAAACGGUAGCUAAUACCGCAUACCAUCGGAUGUGCCCAGAUGGGAUUAGCUAGUAGGUGGGGUAACGGCGCACCUAGGCGCCGAUCCCUAGCUGGUCUGAGAGGAUGACCAGCCACACUGGAACUGAGAGACGGUCCAGACUCCUACGGGAGGGAGCAGUGGGGAAUUUGGCACAAUGGGCGCAAGCCUGAUGCAGCGAUGCCGAGUGUAGGAAGAAGGUCUACGGGUUGUAAAGAACUUUCAGCGGGGAGGCGUUAGCCGCAGAAGAAGCACCGGCUAACUCCGUGCCAGCAGCCGGGGUAAUAC
rnacentral:rRNA from 1 species